AUUGAACGCUGGCGGCAGGCUUAACACAUGCAAGUCGAGCGGAGAUGAGGUGCUUGCACCUUAUCUUAGCGGCGGACGGGUGAGUAAUGCUUAGGAAUCUGCCUAUUAGUGGGGGACAACAUUCCGAAAGGAAUGCUAAUACCGCAUACGCCCUACGGGGGAAAGCAGGGGAUCUUCGGACCUUGCGCUAAUAGAUGAGCCUAAGUGGGAUUAGCUAGUUGGUGGGGUAAAGGCCUACCAAGGCGACGAUCUGUAGCGGGUCUGAGAGGAUGAUCCGCCAAACUGGGACUGGGACACGGCCCAGACUCCUACGGGAGGCAGCAGUGGGGAAUAUUGGACAAUGGGCGGAAGCCUGAUCCAGCCAUGCCGCGUGUGUGAAGAAGGCCUUUUGGUUGUAAAGCACUUUAAGCGAGGAGGAGGCUACCUGGAUUAAUACUCUAGGAUAGUGGACGUUACUCGCAGAAUAAGCACCGGCUAACUCUGUGCCAGCCGCCGCCGUAACAC
rnacentral:rRNA from 1 species